GUUUCAAUAACUUAAAUUUAAAGUGUAGUAUUGAAGAUACUAUGAUGAUUAAUAUAANNUCUUGAAACA
rnacentral:tRNA from 1 species